rnacentral:tRNA from 3 species
GCCUAUUUAGCUCAGUGGUUAGAGCAUCCGUUUCAUACGCGGGAUGUCACUAGUUCAAAUCUAGUAGUAGGCA